rfam:Picea glauca, whole genome shotgun sequence.
GCCAUGGUUUUUUUCAAAACCAUCGCAUUUCCUCUCAUAUUUUCUAU